UAUAAAAAAUCAAGUGAAAAUAUCUCUUUACCCCUAUUUUUAACUUCAAUGUCUUUUGGGAUCCGACGAAAAAUAUUAUUUGAAAGCGAAUAUUACUUGAAAGCAAAGGAUCUCUGUUUUUCCAGCAACCCCUUAAAUCCCUUUUUGCGAAGAAUGUUUGACCCCAAUAAAAAAAAAAAUGGUAUCCUCUCUCAACAGUGGGGUGCCCAUUGGUUUUAUUAGAGAGAGAGAGUAGGUGAAGAACGUGAGAGUGAGAGAGAGGCAUGAGAUGGAGAGAUGGUGGAAAGAGGAAGGCGGAGGAGGAAGAGAGAGCAGUGUCAGAGGUUGAGAGAGGGUUUGCUACGUGCAGCGGCUGAGGAGAGAGCAGAUGGGAGGUCAUGGGAAGAAGGCAGUUGUGGUGGGCUUGUUGUAUGCGGCGGUUGCGACGGUUGAGGGAAGCGGCAGCUGAUUGAGAGGCGUGAGGAAAGAGAGGAUAGAGACAAGAGAGGAGAAAAAUCCGGUGACAAAUCCGACCAUCUUCUACCCGAAAAAUUUCUAAAUUGAAAUAAAAAAAGAACACUGGCUCAGCAAAGAAAAACCAACGGGCACCCACUGCACUUUCUUUCUCUCCGCCAUCCGUCUCAACCAGCUGCGGCCCGGCCCUCAUUUCCACCUAUUUGUUCCACCUCUGCAGCCACCAUCUGUGUUUUACCCCUCUUCUCAACCAAGCCAUGAUCACCACUUGCAACCAAUCCAUCCCCUGCUGCGGCCCGGCCCCCGUGCUGCUGCUCCCUUUUUCCCAUCCUCGUCCAUCUCUCUUCCUUCAUCCUGUGCCCAACUCCCUGUUCUUCCUCUUCCUUGCAACCAAUCCCUCAUUUCUGCCACCAGCAGUCGGCCCACAACUCUGUUGCCCCUCUCUCACCCUCUGCCACCGCUUUCUCUCUUUCGCUAACCAAAAUGUUGAGUUACAUUUAACCAAGUCUAUCCACCAAACCCUGAAAUUUGAGAACCAAAAGAAAGCUUUGGCUGAUUCAACAAUGGCGUCUACUGUUUCAGCCACAAAAUUCUUUUAUUAAGCCCUGAAGGAUUAAGACCAAACAAGCAAACUACUAAUAUUUUCUGUCAAGCAAAAAACCCAACUUUCCAAAAUAUAGAAAUCUGGUUUUUGCAGCCUCUUUGAUACAUAGUCAAACAAGUCCAACACUGAUAAGAGAGACCCAAGAAGAAAAAUUGUGACCGUUGUGACCCACAAAAAACCCAUCUUCCAAAGCCAUGGAGAGUGCCUCAUCAGUUUGACAUAGAAGUCUUGAACGGUUUUAGCCCUGAAAAAAGAGAUCCUACAAGCAAAAUCGUAACUUUUUUUGACCCAGAAAAGACCCAACUUGCCAGAGCCAUGAAGAAAGGUUUGGCUGCUUCGAUUAUGGCGUCCGCUGUUCUCCGCCAGCAAAAUGGACCUAAAAACGAAGAAGCUGAUUGGAUUGGGUGAGAUGAGAGAUGGGUUGUAUCACUAUGUUCAGCCACCGACAAAUAAACAAGUUGCUCUUCCUGCUCAUUGUAGUUCAAACUUUGAACUUUGGCAUCGAAGACUCUGACAUUCAUCCCAACAUAGUUUGGCUAGUUUACCUUCAUCUCAUUUAGAUAUAUUUCCAUGUUUUGUUACACAUUGUGAUGUAUGCAUUUGGGCUAAACAUACACGUUUCUCAUUUACUUCUAGUUUGAAUAAAUGCUCUUCUCCUUUUAAACUUA